AUUACCCUGGAGUGUACGUUAGUGGGAUUAUGUCCCUGAGCCGAUAAGCAAUCCUUAAGGGUUAGUACUUGAAGGCUAUUGAGCAAGCUCGGCAUGUACCGAGAAGCCUACGGUCAUCAUUGCUGAUCCGCCUUGAACCAGCUGUUCAAGGGUCUAAAUCUCCAACGGCACUCUGGGGUAUCC
rnacentral:other from 1 species